rnacentral:lncRNA from 1 species
GUUCCAUGGGUCAUUAAAUCAGGGUCUUAUCCUGUUCUAACAGUGCCUAAUAAAACAGGGUCUUAUCCUGUUCUAACAGGGCCUAUUAAAACAGGGUGUUAUCCUGUUCUAACAGUGCCUAUUAAAACAGGGUGUUAUCCUGUUCUAACAGUGCCUAAUAAAACAGGGUGUUAUCCUGUUCUAACAGUGCCUAAUAAAACAGGGUGUUAUCCUGUUCUAACAGUGCCUAUUAAAACAGGGUGUUAUCCUGUUCUAACAGUGCCUAUUAAAACAGGGUGUUAUCCUGUUCUAACAGUGCCUAAUAAAACAGGGUGUUAUCCUGUUCUAACAGUGCCUAAUAAAACAGGGUGUUAUCCUGUUCUAACAGUGCCUAUUAAAACAGGGUGUUAUCCUGUUCUAACAGUGCCUAAUAAAACAGGGUGUUAUCCUGUUCUAACAGUGCCUAUUAAAACAGGGUUUUAUCCUGUUCUAACAGGGCCUAAUAAAACAGGGUGUUAUCCUGUUCUAACAGUGCCUAAUAAAACAGGGUGUUAUCCUGUUCUAACAGUGCCUAAUAAAACAGUGUGUUAUCCUGUUCUAACAGUGCCUAUUAAAACAGGGUGUUAUCCUGUUCUAACAGGGCCUAAUAAAACAGGGUGUUAUCCUGUUCUAACAGUGCCUAAUAAAACAGGGUGUUAUCCUGUUCUAACAGUGCCUAUUAAAACAGGGUGUUAUCCUGUUCUAACAGUGCCUAUUAAAACAGGGUGUUAUCCUGUUCUAACAGGGCCUAUUAAAACAGGGUGUUAUCCUGUUCUAACAGGGCCUAUUAAAACAGGGUGUUAUCCUGUUCUAACAGUGCCUAAUAAAACAGGGUGUUAUCCUGUUCUAACAGUGCCUAUUAAAACAGGGUGUUAUCCUGUUCUAACAGUGCCUAUUAAAACAGGGUGUUAUCCUGUUCUAACAGGGCCUAUUAAAACAGGGUGUUAUCCUGUUCUAACAGGGCCUAUUAAAACAGGGUCUUAUCCUGUUUUAACAGUGCCCAUUAAAACAGGAUAA